UGCAGUCGAGCGGAUGAAGGGAGCUUGCUCCUGGAUUCAGCGGCGGACGGGUGAGUAAUGCCUAGGAAUCUGCCUGGUAGUGGGGGAUAACGUCCGGAAACGGGCGCUAAUACCGCAUACGUCCUGAGGGAGAAAGUGGGGGAUCUUCGGACCUCACGCUAUCAGAUGAGCCUAGGUCGGAUUAGCUAGUUGGUGGGGUAAAGGCCUACCAAGGCGACGAUCCGUAUCUGGUCUGAGAGGAUGAUCAGUCACACUGGAACUGAGACACGGUCCAGACUCCUACGGGAGGCAGCAGUGGGGAAUAUUGGACAAUGGGCGAAAGCCUGAUCCAGCCAUGCCGCGUGUGUGAAGAAGGUCUUCGGAUUGUAAAGCACUUUAAGUUGGGAGGAAGGGCAGUAAGUUAAUACCUUGCUGUUUUGACGUUACCAACAGAAUAAGCACCGGCUAACUUCGUGCCAGCAGCCGCGGUAAUACGAAGGGUGCAAGCGUUAAUCGGAUUUACUGGGCGUAAAGCGCGCGUAGGUGGUUCAGCAAGUUGGAUGUGAAAUCCCCGGGCUCAACCUGGGAACUGCAUCCAAAACUACUGAGCUAGAGUACGGUAGAGGGUGGUGGAAUUUCCUGUGUAGCGGU
rnacentral:rRNA from 1 species